AUUGAACGCUGGCGGCAGGCCUAACACAUGCAAGUCGAACGAGUGGCGGACGGGUGAGUAAUGUCUGGGAAACUGCCUGAUGGAGGGGGAUAACUACUGGCAACGGUAGCUAAUACCGCAUACCAUCAGAUGUGCCACGAUGGGAUUAGCUUGGUGGUGGGGUAACGGCUAACCAAGGCGAUGAUCACUAGCUGGGCUGAGAGGAUGACCGUCUACAAGGGAACGGAGACACGGUCCAGACGCCUAUGGAAGCCAGCAGUGGGGAAUAGUGAACAAUGGGCGCAAGCAUGAUGCAGCCAUGCCGCGUGUAUGAAGAAGGCUUUCGGGUUGUAAAGUAAUUUCAGCGGGGAGGCGUUACCCGCAGAAGAACCACCGGCUAACUCCGUGCCAGCAGCCGCGGUAAUAC
rnacentral:rRNA from 1 species